AGCGUAGACGGAGUGGCAAGUCUGAUGUGAAAACCCGGGGCUCAACCCCGGGACUGCAUUGGAAACUGUCAAUCUAGAGUACCGGAGAGGUAAGCGGAAUUCCUAGUGUAGCGGUGAAAUGCGUAGAUAUUAGGAGGAACACCAGUGGCGAAGGCGGCUAUCUGGACCGGUACUGACGCUGAGGUGCGAAAGCGUGGGGAGCAAACA
rnacentral:rRNA from 1 species